rnacentral:lncRNA from 1 species
GGGACUUCACUCUUGGCUGUUUCUGCCUGAAAGUGGAAGACAGACCUCUUUCAUCUCCUCUCUGCCGAAGAGAUUAUUGGUCUUGCUCAGAAGAGACUUAUCAGCAAUGUUAUUAUUAUCUACCCUUAGGGGAAGAUAAUUUUAUUUUCUGAAUUGUCUUUAUUUCAAAGCCUUCAAUCAAGAUAACUUAGAAUUAGGGAGACCCUAAUUCCCCUAUCUUCUUAACCUCUUCUUAACCCCUCUCCCCAAAGAAUAAAAGAUCCUUUAGUUAAAGUACUAGUUGUGGGAUUUGGUUAUUAGUGGGAAAAUUUUCAACUUACUACCUGUAAGAAGAUCUUCAUCUAGACAGUUGGGAAGAAAGAAACAGGAAGUAGUGUAGGGGAGGGGCCCAAGAUUCAGUCUCUUUCUUUUGUAUACUUUCUUGUGCAACAUCAAUAAUCCCCCACUAUAAUUCACCAAGUUUUCAUCUCUAGUACACUGUGUUGGCUCUAUCAAGAAUCAAGCAGCUCUUAAUAAUAAGAGACAUCCUCACCAAGGUCCUGGAGAGAAAGAGAUGAAAACUUCUCCCUCCGAAAAGAUGGCUUCUCCCAGGAUUUCUAUUUAAGGAAGGCACAAGGCUACCUUCCUGUAUUCCAAGCAGACAUGCAAUUCCACUGGGCCAAAUCAAUUUUUAAAAAGAACCUCAAAAUGACAGGAGUCAAAAACCAACAGUGAGACUGACUGAUGGGCCUCUCCCACUGAUCACAACUUGAAAGGAAGGAACCACAGACUUGGGGCUCCCAAACACUGUGAGCUAGAGGGUGGUCAGAGCCUUCUAGGAGAGGAGAUGGAAUUAACCUCAACCAGAAACAAUCCUCUUGACUCAUGAACCUGUAGGAGGAGAUGAACAGCUGAAGACCAAUAAGGAAGACACCCCUUGAAAUCUGUCAUGAAUGAAUGGGUCAGAGAAGAACCCAGAAACCUAUGACUAUGA